rnacentral:rRNA from 1 species
AUUGAACGCUGGCGGCAGGCUUAACACAUGCAAGUCGAGCGGGGAAGGGUAGCUUGCUACCUAACCUAGUGGCGGACGGGUGAGUAAUGCUUAGGAAUCUGCCAUUUAGUGGGGGACAACAUUCCGAAAGGAAUGCUAAUACCGCAUACGUCCUACGGGAGAAAGCAGGGGAUCUUCGGACCUUGCGCUAAAUGAUGAGCCUAAGUCGGAUUAGCUAGGUGGUGGGGUAAAGGCCUACCAAGGCGACGAUCUGUAGCGGGUCUGAGAGGAUGAUCCGCCACACUGGGACUGAGACACGGCCCAGACUCCUACGGGAGGCAGCAGUGGGGAAUAUGGGACAAUGGGCGGAAGCCUGAUCCAGCCAUGCCGCGUGUGUGAAGAAGGCCUUAUGGUUGUAAAGCACUUUAAGCGAGGAGGAGGCUACUUAGAUUAAUACUCUAGGAUAGUGGACGUUACUCGCAGAAUAAGCACCGGCUAACUCUGUGCCAGCCGCCGCGGUAACAC